rnacentral:lncRNA from 1 species
AGUGUUUGCAUCUGCUCUCAUUAGUUGCUUGAUGAUAGUCCUCUGAGGAUACUUGGAGUAGGCGCUGAUCUAGUAGUAUAGCAGAUGGCAGAUUAUCAUCAGUAAUCAAUUCAGUGUCUAUUUUGCCAGUUGUAUUUAGUUCUAUCCUGUGUCUCUGGGUUGUCCUGCCUCUGGUUCCUGGUCAUCCAGCCACUGUCAGAUGUGCAAAAGUUGUACUCAUCUUGUCAGGGGCUUGAGAAGAAUAUGUGGGAAGCCCAAGGCAAAUACAAUGAAGAGAGACCCACAUUGGGCGAGAAGCCAGGCAUAGAGCAUGGAUAUCUGCACUGGAG